UACGUAGGUGGCAAGCGUUGUCCGGAUUUACUGGGCGUAAAGGGCGUGCAGGCGGUUUGUUAAGUGCAGGGUGAAAGCUCCCGGCUCAACUGGGAGAGGUCCUUGCAUACUGGCAGACUUGAGGGAGGCAGAGGAAAGUGGAAUUCCCGGUGUAGUGGUGAUAUGCGUAGAUAUCGGGAGGAACACCUGUGGCGAAGGCGGCUUUCUGGGCCUUACCUGACGCUGAGACGCGAAAGCAUGGGGAGCGAACAGG
rnacentral:rRNA from 1 species